rnacentral:rRNA from 2 species
GGUUAAGCGACUAAGCGUACACGGUGGAUGCCCUGGCAGUCAGAGGCGAUGAAGGACGUGCUAAUCUGCGAUAAGCGUCGGUAAGGUGAUAUGAACCGUUAUAACCGGCGAUUUCCGAAUGGGGAAACCCAGUGUGUUUCGACACACUAUCAUUAACUGAAUCCAUAGGUUAAUGAGGCGAACCGGGGGAACUGAAACAUCUAAGUACCCCGAGGAAAAGAAAUCAACCGAGAUUCCCCCAGUAGCGGCGAGCGAACGGGGAGCAGCCCAGAGCCUGAAUCAGUGUGUGUGUUAGUGGAAGCGUCUGGAAAGGCGCGCGAUACAGGGUGACAGCCCCGUACACAAAAAUGCACAUACUGUGAGCUCGAUGAGUAGGGCGGGACACGUGGUAUCCUGUCUGAAUAUGGGGGGACCAUCCUCCAAGGCUAAAUACUCCUGACUGACCGAUAGUGAACCAGUACCGUGAGGGAAAGGCGAAAAGAACCCCGGCGAGGGGAGUGAAAAAGAACCUGAAACCGUGUACGUACAAGCAGUGGGAGCCUCUUUAUGGGGUGACUGCGUACCUUUUGUAUAAUGGGUCAGCGACUUAUAUUCUGUAGCAAGGUUAACCGAAUAGGGGAGCCGAAGGGAAACCGAGUCUUAACUGGGCGUUAAGUUGCAGGGUAUAGACCCGAAACCCGGUGAUCUAGCCAUGGGCAGGUUGAAGGUUGGGUAACACUAACUGGAGGACCGAACCGACUAAUGUUGAAAAAUUAGCGGAUGACUUGUGGCUGGGGGUGAAAGGCCAAUCAAACCGGGAGAUAGCUGGUUCUCCCCGAAAGCUAUUUAGGUAGCGCCUCGUGAAUUCAUCUCCGGGGGUAGAGCACUGUUUCGGCAAGGGGGUCAUCCCGACUUACCAACCCGAUGCAAACUGCGAAUACCGGAGAAUGUUAUCACGGGAGACACACGGCGGGUGCUAACGUCCGUCGUGAAGAGGGAAACAACCCAGACCGCCAGCUAAGGUCCCAAAGUCAUGGUUAAGUGGGAAACGAUGUGGGAAGGCCCAGACAGCCAGGAUGUUGGCUUAGAAGCAGCCAUCAUUUAAAGAAAGCGUAAUAGCUCACUGGUCGAGUCGGCCUGCGCGGAAGAUGUAACGGGGCUAAACCAUGCACCGAAGCUGCGGCAGCGACACUAUGUGUUGUUGGGUAGGGGAGCGUUCUGUAAGCCUGUGAAGGUGUGCUGUGAGGUAUGCUGGAGGUAUCAGAAGUGCGAAUGCUGACAUAAGUAACGAUAAAGCGGGUGAAAAGCCCGCUCGCCGGAAGACCAAGGGUUCCUGUCCAACGUUAAUCGGGGCAGGGUGAGUCGACCCCUAAGGCGAGGCCGAAAGGCGUAGUCGAUGGGAAACAGGUUAAUAUUCCUGUACUUGGUGUUACUGCGAAGGGGGGACGGAGAAGGCUAUGUUGGCCGGGCGACGGUUGUCCCGGUUUAAGCGUGUAGGCUGGUUUUCCAGGCAAAUCCGGAAAAUCAAGGCUGAGGCGUGAUGACGAGGCACUACGGUGCUGAAGCAACAAAUGCCCUGCUUCCAGGAAAAGCCUCUAAGCAUCAGGUAACAUCAAAUCGUACCCCAAACCGACACAGGUGGUCAGGUAGAGAAUACCAAGGCGCUUGAGAGAACUCGGGUGAAGGAACUAGGCAAAAUGGUGCCGUAACUUCGGGAGAAGGCACGCUGAUAUGUAGGUGAAGUCCCUUGCGGAUGGAGCUGAAAUCAGUCGAAGAUACCAGCUGGCUGCAACUGUUUAUUAAAAACACAGCACUGUGCAAACACGAAAGUGGACGUAUACGGUGUGACGCCUGCCCGGUGCCGGAAGGUUAAUUGAUGGGGUUAGCGGUAACGCGAAGCUCUUGAUCGAAGCCCCGGUAAACGGCGGCCGUAACUAUAACGGUCCUAAGGUAGCGAAAUUCCUUGUCGGGUAAGUUCCGACCUGCACGAAUGGCGUAAUGAUGGCCAGGCUGUCUCCACCCGAGACUCAGUGAAAUUGAACUCGCUGUGAAGAUGCAGUGUACCCGCGGCAAGACGGAAAGACCCCGUGAACCUUUACUAUAGCUUGACACUGAACAUUGAGCCUUGAUGUGUAGGAUAGGUGGGAGGCUUUGAAGUGUGGACGCCAGUCUGCAUGGAGCCGACCUUGAAAUACCACCCUUUAAUGUUUGAUGUUCUAACGUUGGCCCCUGAUCGGGGUUGCGGACAGUGUCUGGUGGGUAGUUUGACUGGGGCGGUCUCCUCCUAAAGAGUAACGGAGGAGCACGAAGGUUGGCUAAUCCUGGUCGGACAUCAGGAGGUUAGUGCAAUGGCAUAAGCCAGCUUGACUGCGAGCGUGACGGCGCGAGCAGGUGCGAAAGCAGGUCAUAGUGAUCCGGUGGUUCUGAAUGGAAGGGCCAUCGCUCAACGGAUAAAAGGUACUCCGGGGAUAACAGGCUGAUACCGCCCAAGAGUUCAUAUCGACGGCGGUGUUUGGCACCUCGAUGUCGGCUCAUCACAUCCUGGGGCUGAAGUAGGUCCCAAGGGUAUGGCUGUUCGCCAUUUAAAGUGGUACGCGAGCUGGGUUUAGAACGUCGUGAGACAGUUCGGUCCCUAUCUGCCGUGGGCGCUGGAGAACUGAGGGGGGCUGCUCCUAGUACGAGAGGACCGGAGUGGACGCAUCACUGGUGUUCGGGUUGUCAUGCCAAUGGCACUGCCCGGUAGCUAAAUGCGGAAGAGAUAAGUGCUGAAAGCAUCUAAGCACGAAACUUGCCCCGAGAUGAGUUCUCCCUGACUCCUUGAGAGUCCUGAAGGAACGUUGAAGACGACGACGUUGAUAGGCCGGGUGUGUAAGCGCAGCGAUGCGUUGAGCUAACCGGUACUAAUGAACCGUGAGGCUUAACCUU